rnacentral:rRNA from 1 species
AAAGAAACCAACAGGGAUUGCCCUAGUAACGGCGAGUGAAGCGGCAACAGCUCAAAUUUGAAAUCUGGCCCUCGGGUCCGAGUUGUAAUUUGUAGAGGAUGCUUUUGGUGAGGUGCCUUCCGAGUUCCCUGGAACGGGACGCCAUAGAGGGUGAGAGCCCCGUCUGGUUGGAUACCGAUCCUCUGUAAAGCUCCUUCGACGAGUCGAGUAGUUUGGGAAUGCUGCUCUAAAUGGGAGGUAUAUGUCUUCUAAAGCUAAAUAUUGGCCAGAGACCGAUAGCGCACAAGUAGAGUGAUCGAAAGAUGAAAAGCACUUUGAAAAGAGAGUUAAAAAGUACGUGAAAUUGUUGAAAGGGAAGCGCUUAUGACCAGACUUGGACUUGGUUGAUCAUCCUGGGUUCUCCCUGGUGCACUCUUCCAGUUCAGGCCAGCAUCAGUUCGCUGCGGGGGAUAAAAGCUUUGGGAAUGUGGCUCCCUCGGGAGUGUUAUAGCCCAUUGCAUAAUACCCUGCUCCGGACUGAGGUUCGCGCAUCUGCAAGGAUGCUGGCGUAAUGGUCAUCAGCGACCCGUCUUGAAACACGGACCAAGGAGUCGUCUUCGUAUGCGAGUGUUCGGGUGUUAAACCCCUACGCGUAAUGAAAGUGAACGCAGGUGAGAGCUUCGGCGCAUCAUCGACCGAUCCUGAUGUUCUCGGAUGGAUUUGAGUAAGAGCAUACGGGGCCGGACCCGAAAGAAGGUGAACUAUGCCUGUAUAGGGUGAAGCCAGAGGAAACUCUGGUGGAGGCUCGCAGCGGUUCUGACGUGCAAAUCGAUCGUCAAAUAUGGGCAUGGGGGCGAAAGACUAAUCGAACCUUCUAGUAGCUGGUU